AAGUCGUAACAAGGUAACCGUAGGUGAACCUGCGGUUGGAUCAUUAAAGAAAUCCAGGGCUGCUCCUCUGGCUGUGAAAGCCAGCGUUGCGGACCAAAUACCCAACCUUUUGUGAACUGUCUUGUCUCUGGCGGCGGGGUAGACUGGACUUGUGCCAUUUGCACCCAUCUGCCUGUCAGCUUGGGGCCCUUGGGUUCCUUGCCGUGGACAAACCGCCAACCAUGUUUAAACUUGUGCCAUUGAUUCUUGGUCUCUGCUGCAUCUGGUGAAAUAAACAGAAACAACUUUUGGCAACGGAUCUCUUGGCUCUC
rnacentral:misc_RNA from 1 species